UCUUCUAUGUUAUUCUGAUACCCGACACAUCUUUUUGCUUGCAACCGUCAAAAAGCAGUCUGUCCAUAUGAUUAUCCCUUCAAAACGCGGUCACAUGGAAUAAAAUGAUACCAUCUUCUUUCUUUAAUGGCGUUUUUUGGCGGGGGGUGGGGAGGAUUCCACUGUAGAAGUGGGAUGCUUGUCCCGAUUUUUAAAAUUAUUAAACGAUGCACCCAACAAGGGAUGGUAAUCCCGCGACCGGAAUCCAUGGAAAACAAAAAUGCCAGUUCGUGCAUUCGUCUUCGCCCUCUUCUCCUUUGCUGCUUCGCCCGGCCGCUGCACAGCGCAACCUCCCUCGCCGCCGUUUUCCUGCACCAACCAACCUCCCUCGUCGCCGUUUUCAUUGCACAGGCUCCCUCGUUGCAGCCAUCACUCGUGGUACCAGCAUAUUCUCCAUAUAUCUAACAAAAGGAAGAAGGCAAGUCCUCAUCAAGGUGUGAGAAUAUGAUUUGGAAAGAAGCACAAAUGGACAUGUUGGUACAACUCUUGGUUGAGUAAGCACGAACCGGCAUGAAAGCACGGGGAGCUUGACAAUAUCAACUGCAAGUUUACCGUUACAAGGGUUCAGUCUGUCUGUAGGUCUUUUACUACUUUUGAAGUAGUAGACACAUUCCAAGGACUACAUGAACAAGAAGGAGGAGAAGAAGAUUUAAGAGCAUUGCCAGAAGAAGCUUUAUAUGAAAGAUCGUCCAUUUUGUGUUUAUACUUGUGUGGCUGUCUGUCUGUUUUGUUUUUUUUUUUUGUUAUCUUAUGCUCUACCUGUUAAAUGGUGAACAAUAUAUUUACUGGACUAUACUAAUGACUGUUUGGACCUUCUUUUCAAGUACACUACUGGACUGUACAAAUGACUGGAUGAAUAAUAUAUAUAUGGUGCAGCUUCAUUUUUAUGUUUCUUGA